rnacentral:rRNA from 2 species
CGUGGGCAAUCUGCCCUUCACUCUGGGACAAGCCCUGGAAACGGGGUCUAAUACCGGAUACCACUCCUGCCUGCAUGGGCGGGGGUUGAAAGCUCCGGCGGUGAAGGAUGAGCCCGCGGCCUAUCAGCUUGUUGGUGGGGUAAUGGCCUACCAAGGCGACGACGGGUAGCCGGCCUGAGAGGGCGACCGGCCACACUGGGACUGAGACACGGCCCAGACUCCUACGGGAGGCAGCAGUGGGGAAUAUUGCACAAUGGGCGAAAGCCUGAUGCAGCGACGCCGCGUGAGGGAUGACGGCCUUCGGGUUGUAAACCUCUUUCAGCAGGGAAGAAGCGAAAGUGACGGUACCUGCAGAAGAAGCGCCGGCUAACUACGUGCCAGCAGCCGCGGUAAUACGUAGGGCGCAAGCGUUGUCCGGAAUUAUUGGGCGUAAAGAGCUCGUAGGCGGCUUGUCACGUCGGAUGUGAAAGCCCGAGGCUUAACCUCGGGUCUGCAUUCGAUACGGGCUAGCUAGAGUGUGGUAGGGGAGAUCGGAAUUCCUGGUGUAGCGGUGAAAUGCGCAGAUAUCAGGAGGAACACCGGUGGCGAAGGCGGAUCUCUGGGCCAUUACUGACGCUGAGGAGCGAAAGCGUG